UCCCAAUCUUCAUUUUUAUCCUGAGGCUCAGCUGUACUGAACAUGCUGCCAAAAUUGGGAAAUAGCAUGCUUCGCAUACUUCCCGUCUCUGGAAGCUUCUCAUGGACACUGCCAAAGAGUGUUACAAGAGGAUCCUUGAGAGACAAGGUCCGAUUUACCAUGGUUCCUUGACGGGAGACAAGGCCUAUGCUACUCUGUCCAUUAACAGGCUUGGCAACCCAUGAGCGGCCAUCCUCAGGUCCAUACAACUUGAUACGGUCUUUACCAGGAUAUGGCUCUUGAUCCUCCCCAAGAUCAUCCGCUGGACUGAUGAUGUAUUCUUCUAUGGAUGUGUUACCACCAACUGCUAGACCUUCAACCACUAAAGCCAUCUCACCUAUGAAAAAAGGAACAUCAGCACAAUCAACAUAGUGAUUAAAAUUUCAAGCUUUCAUACGAUAUUUGGUCAAAGAAAAUUAGAAACUCCAAAUGGUUUCAUUAGUAAAACUUUUACCACAGAUAGAGGAAAAAAAGAAGGCAACAAUAUAACUACAGACGAACAUCCAUAUAAGAUCCUUUGAUCACUUAUUAUACCAUGUUAAAGUUGGAAAAGAAAGUCAUACGACAGUAAUGACAAGUUGAAUCAUCUAAAUUGUAAGACAAACAGUUGUGCAGCCAGUAAACCUCAAAUAACACACAAGAAAGAUAAAAAUUAUAAAGCUGAGAAUUCGACCAUUGUAAUUAGCCUCUAAGUUGCUACAUUACGUAUACAUGCAGAAUGCAAUUGAUUUUUUUAACAACGUGCAAUUAUUAUGUAUAUUUUAAUAGUUUUAAUUUAUUUUUGACAGUCCUUUGCUUUCGAAACUUCCGAAAUUUCUGGCUUUAAGUGAAUAUGCCAAAAAUAUGCAGCACAGAUUCCACUGAAAAACAAGGAUUUAAUCCAAAUUCAUCUAUCAGUAUCCACAUUUUAGCAUACCCUAACCAGAAAAGACCUUCAGGACAGCAUAUUUAUCUUAUCAUUUGCAUAAAAUAUGAAAAAAAAAAAAAAAAAAAAAAAAAUCAAGUAUGAUUGGACAAAUUUUUUUUUGGGAAUUUUAAAAAAAAAUUUCUUUACCAUCAACAAAUUAGAAUUGAAGAAUAGUUCCAUAUUUUGAGAUCGUUUUCAUAAGAAGAUGAUCUUAGCACGACAUGUUGCAAACUAAGAGCUAGACCAAGACUAACGUGGCCUGUUGAGAUUGCUACACACUUAGCUACCUUGGAUAUCCCCACUAAAAUGUGCGAUGAACAAAACAUAUUGAUGAAAAAGGAUUUGCGUUAGGCUUAUUGUUGCUUGCUACUUUUAUUAUUAUUGUUGGUUGCUAUUUUUAUUAAACAAAGAAAUCUAUAAUCUUUUAACACCACAAACCGCGGCCUAACGGUGCAGGACAUCAUUUUUCUAACUGAAUUUGACACGUAAAGAAUAUAUGUAAGGUUACCUUUUCCUUUACUAAAAAAUACCAUGAGAACAGUUCAUAAGUUGAAAGUCCAAUUAGAAUGCAUUUGUAAAUUUCAAACAAGUAAUAGUUCAAACUUUUUAACUGGUUGGACUAGGAUCGAGCAUAACUCGUUCAAGACCUCGACCAAAAAUUUAAUUUGAAGAAAUUGCCCUUAAUACGCCCUUUUCCAUAUUCCAAAUAUGCUCACCUUUUCUUUCAUAAUAUCACAUGUACUCCCCUUAAUAUCUAUGAAUAAUUAUGUUUAUAUACCCAAAAGUAUACCGAAUUGUUUAACUCCUCUCACAUGCACGUGGAACCCGCGUGAAUAAAAAAAUCUCAAAACAUGGUCCCACCCCCACCCCCCAUUGAAUAGGGGAAUACAGUAAAAGAUUAGAUAAAAAAAUUCGAUACAUGUAGUAUGAUCCAAUAUCUGUUGGUAUUGAGCCAUUAGAUGGUAAGGCACAAUCCAAAUGGCCAAAAAUAAAAAAGGCUAUGCAAGCCUUGAAAGCCAAAUACGGACCCAAACCAGCUUUACAUCUCCAGCGCAUUUUGUGUUUCUUAUUCUUUUUUCUUCAUUCAUACUAAGCUCUUUACCAGCUUGCAGUUUAGUUGUACCAAAGACAACGGAUUCCAGCAAUCCUAUUUAGGACAAUCAGUAGAGAAAAGGUAUAACAUCUCUCUUAUAUAAAUUACGAGAAUAAACGAAUCCUCAAUCGAAUUACAUUGCACAAAACUCGCUAGACAGCAUAGCAUAGUGCCGAUGAAGAACUAACAACCGAGUUGAGCUUCUCCCAUUACUCGUGCUUAUCAGAAACCUGUUUCGUUCCAACAGCAAAGAACUCUGUAAUGACCUCCAGUGGCAUGCCCUUUGUUUCAGGAACCCUUAAGUACACGAAAAUCAAGGAGAGGAGACAUACCACGGCAUAAAUGGCAAAAACACCGGCCAACCCAAUCGAACUAAGCAACAAGGGAAAAGUGUAGGUAACGAUGACAUCACCUAUCCAGAAGACUAGAGCACAGAUGGCAAUGCAGAUUCCACGAACCCUUGUAGGAAAUAUUUCAGAGCAGAGAAUAUUCGGGAUUGACCCAUAGGCCAUAACGAAAACGCAGAUGUAGAUAAUUAGACAGAUGGUUGAGAUAACGGCAUGUGCUAUGGUUCCAAAAUCGAAAACAUCAGAUAUGAUGAGGAUGAUGAGUGACACUAUCAAAACCGGGAUAGUCGUGAGCAGCAAGGACCUGUAAAAUGAGCGAUGUGAUAUUUUUCUCAUUAGGAUAUCAUAAAAGAGAACUCCACACAUUUAAGAAGAUUACAAUUCUUUAACAUAGUUUUACCCAAAAGAAAAGGAUUGCUAUGAACUCAUUCGAUCAACCUACUCACUGUCAUUGAGACUGUUUAUCAGUUAACGACGGAGAUACUAUUACAGAAAAAAUGACUUCUUUUUAUAGUCAGCCACUUCUAACUGGAAAAGAGAAACAAGAAAUUGACCAAAAAGAUUGGAAGAAAUGUCGAAGCCUGAAAUUUGAGAAGUUACAGACAGAAGCUACAGAGACCAGUCAGCAUCAGAAAAGGAGAAAUAAAGGAAAAUGGAAAGAAGUUACCUUCUGCCAGAAAGAUCCAUGAACCUCAUACCAACAGCUAUACAAGGAAGCAUCAAGAAAUUUGUAAAUGCACUAAUGAGGAAAGAUGCAGAUUCUGAUCCAAUGCCAAGGUUAGAAAGAAGAGCUGAAAUGCCUGCCUGCUGAAGAAUUUGAGGUGCGUAGUACAAAACCCCAUUGAUACCAGAAAACUGCAGAAACAUGAGAAAGAAUGAGAAGCAAGUUUGGACAAGUCUAUUAUCCAACAAAGUUGACUCGUCUUAAAAUCAAUAAGGUUAUUAGAGAAAACAAAACAAAAAAAAAUAAUCAUUUUUUUUUUUUUUUUUUUUGGAUUUCCUAAAAAAAAUGAAAAAAAAAAAAAAACUUACAUGCAUGCCCAACCAUAUUUCUCCAAUCCUGGUUGCCAGUUAGAUACUUGAUCUGUAAAGGAAUUCCUUUUUAUCUACUUGAACCGAACUACCUGACUUCUUGUACUUAUAAAGUAAUUUGUGGGUCCCAUGAAAUGUGGUUAAAAUUAAUUGUUGACUUUGACUUAGAUUAAAAUUUGAUUCAUUCCAAACAAGGGCUUAACAAACUUCCAUUUUAUACAUGUAAUGAAAGGUGAACUUAAAAUACCUGCUGCAGUAGUUGGAUUCCGAUCCCAACAACUAAUGCGCGUUUAACUCCAGGUUCAAGAAGAGCAAUCCAACCAGGCCCUUUUGCAGCGGUUUCAGCUGGGUGCACCAUCGCCGGUCCAACCAGAUGCUGACUCAUAAGGGCCUUCGAACAAAGAGCAGGCUGGCUUACCAGAGCUGCUGCCUGGAUGAACCCGCCAUCAACUGGAACAUCACCUCCAGUGAGUGAAAUGAGAGACCCACGUCUUGACCCAGGAGCACCCUCCUCGUGCAGAUAAAUCCGUUUAAAACCUCCUCCUUUCUUUCCAUCUUCACCUUCUCUCUCGGACCAUUUCCAUGCUAGCUGCCAACCACUACCAAUACCCAUGUUACCAACAGCUUCUGCAUUCCCUUGCAUGUGACUGCUGUCGCGUCUCAUACUUAGAAUGCUUCCAUGGGGCUGAGGGACGAUCAUGUCCUUCUCCAUGCUUGUCGUUUGACGUGAAAUUAAUGGACUAUGCAAAUUAUCAUCUGAAUCGGCACCAUCAGCCUCUGAUGCGUAUCCAUCACUUUCUCUCUGCUGACUCUCUUCAUCCCAAUCUUCAUUUUUAUCCUGAGGCUCAGCUGUACUGAACAUGCUGCCAAAAUUGGGAAAUAGCAUGCUUCGCAUACUUCCCGUCUCUGGAAGCUUCUCAUGGACACUGCCAAAGAGUGUUACAAGAGGAUCCUUGAGAGACAAGGUCCGAUUUACCAUGGUUCCUUGACGGGAGACAAGGCCUAUGCUACUCUGUCCAUUAACAGGCUUGGCAACCCAUGAGCGGCCAUCCUCAGGUCCAUACAACUUGAUACGGUCUUUACCAGGAUAUGGCUCUUGAUCCUCCCCAAGAUCAUCCGCUGGACUGAUGAUGUAUUCUUCUAUGGAUGUGUUACCACCAACUGCUAGACCUUCAACCACUAAAGCCAUCUCACCUAUGAAAAAAGGAACAUCAGCACAAUCAACAUAGUGAUUAAAAUUUCAAGCUUUCAUACGAUAUUUGGUCAAAGAAAAUUAGAAACUCCAAAUGGUUUCAUUAGUAAAACUUUUACCACAGAUAGAGGAAAAAAAGAAGGCAACAAUAUAACUACAGACGAACAUCCAUAUAAGAUCCUUUGAUCACUUAUUAUACCAUGUUAAAGUUGGAAAAGAAAGUCAUACGACAGUAAUGACAAGUUGAAUCAUCUAAAUUGUAAGACAAACAGUUGUGCAGCCAGUAAACCUCAAAUAACACACACAAGAA
rnacentral:lncRNA from 1 species